UUUAAAAGGUAGAUUUUCCCUCUGUGGUUACGUGCUUGAUGGUUAAUCAUAGAGGAAAAUCCACGUUUUCAG
rfam:Erinaceus europaeus unplaced genomic scaffold scaffold00087, whole genome shotgun sequence